rnacentral:rRNA from 1 species
GAUGAACGCUGGCGGCGUGCCUAAUACAUGCAAGUCGAGCGAACGGACGAGAAGCUUGCUUCUCUGAUGUUAGCGGCGGACGGGUGAGUAACACGUGGAUAACCUACCUAUAAGACUGGGAUAACUUCGGGAAACCGUAGCUAAUACCGGAUAAUAUUUUGAACCGCAUGGUUCAAAAGUGAAAGACGGUCUUGCUGUCACUUAUAGAUGGAUCCGCGCUGCAUUAGCUAGUUGGUAAGGUAACGGCUUACCAAGGCAACGAUGCAUAGCCGACCUGAGAGGGUGAGGGGCCACACUGGAACUGAGACACGGGACGGACGACUACGGGAGGCAGCAGUGGGGAAUCGUCCGCAAUGGGCGAAAGACUGACGGAGCAACGCAGCGUGAGUGAUGAAGUGCUUCAGAACGUAAAACUCUGUUAUUAGGGAAGAACAAAUGUGCAAGUAACUGUGCACAUCUUGACGGUACCUAAUCAGAAAGCAACGGCUAACUACGUG